AUGGCAGUGAUGAUUGGCGCAGGGGUACGGACCUCAGCUGAUGAUGGGGGCUGAGCACUGGCGGCUACUCCAUUCAGCCGGCAUGUGGCUGGCUGUCCUGGGGGAGGCAUCGGUGCGAAACAAACGCCUAAAUCUGAGCCUC